ACCGUCUGGGUCUGAACCAGAUGCUGCUGCUGGUUCAGAGUUGCCGUUACUGUUGUUGUUCUCUUUGGUCUUACCGUUCUGUUCUGCGGUCUCUGUUUUGGUUGAGUUGUUGUCUUCAUGAGCUUU
rnacentral:sRNA from 1 species